rnacentral:rRNA from 1 species
AUUGAACGCUGGCGGCAGGCCUAACACAUGCAAGUCGAACGAGUGGCGGACGGGUGAGUAAUGUCUGGGAAACUGCCUGAUGGAGGGGGAUAGCUACUGGAAACGGUAGCUAAUACCGCAUACUAUCGGAUGUGCCCAGAGGGGCUUAGCUGGUUGGUGGGGUAAAGGCUCACCAAGGCGACGAUCCCUAGCUGGUCUGAGAGGAUGACCAGCCACAUGGGAACUUAGACACGGUCCAGACUCCUACGGGAGGCAGCAGUGGGGAAUAUUGCACAAUGGGCGCAAGCCUGAUGCAGCCAUGCCGCGGGUAUGAAGAAGGCCUUCGGGUUGUAAAGUACGUUCAGCGGGGAGGCGUUACCCGCAGAAGAAGCACCGGCUAACUCCGUGCCAGCCGCCGCGGUAAUUC